rnacentral:lncRNA from 1 species
CUCCGGGAAGAGGAAGGAGCUUGCUGGUCUCGGGCGCCCGCAUCUCUCUUCACCCGGGAACGUGCUGGGACGGGCCGUGGGCGGCCUGGGCUCGGGCCCCAGUCUUCCCCUCCCCGCUCCGAAUCUCCGGGAAUCCUAGUGUCACUCGAGGAUGCUGGGCGGGAGGAACUCUGGGUUGACCGCUCCGUUAGGAAACGGCCCUGAAAUCCAGAUCCAGGCGUCCCGGGCAGGGGUCAGAGACUCAGGGCGCCCGGAAGCUGCCGCACGCCUUGCUGAGGAGUCCAGUGCUACGUUACUUGAAGGACCCUAGCCUUCCGGGCCCCCAAACGUGGCACAUGUGUGAAGAAUAACUAAGCUCACCCCUUGCCUAGCUCUGCAGCCACGUUUUUCAGGACUGAAGCUCACAGGACCUGCCGUGCAGGACAAGAAGGUCUUGGGCCCCACCCGUGCACAGUACAAGAAAGUGUUGGAAAGUCCUCCCGGGUCAGUAAGCCUGGACGUGGCAGUUUGGUGUGUACUGAGUUCGCUUCCAUCUGGCCGCUGCACAUUGGGCAGGAAAAGGAGGGGCGGUGACUCAGUCACGGACAUAGCAGGUGUGUGGGAAAGGCAAACUUCCCCAUCUCCACUCUGCUUGUGGGCACAUAGCCCACUCCCCCCUCUAAACCCUGACUGACAUGAUAGUAGAGACAAGACUCAAACUCUGGAUUCGGUGCCCUUAACCAAGAGUGAAAGACCAAUGAGAUGACCAGUUCAUGCCCAUUGCCAACUGUACUGGAUUAAGAGACUCCUGGAGAGGUGACCGGACCACAGGGAUGCUGUACUCAUCAUCAAGGGAGUGUUCGUAGCUGAAUGUGCUGUCAAGGGCUGGGGCCCAGUUGAAGUAGUGUUGAGAGAUUGAACCCAGGGCUUCGUGCAUCCUAGGCAAGGCAGUGUAUUAUUCUCCCAGGACUUCAGUAAUAAAGUACCACAAACUUGGGUGUAAAACUGCCUGAUGGCCCAGACCAUCC